UUAAGCGACUAAGCGUACACGGUGGAUGCCCUGGCAGUCAGAGGCGAUGAAGGACGUGCUAAUCUGCGAUAAGCGCCGGUAAGGUGAUAUGAACCGUUAUAACCGGCGAUUUCCGAAUGGGGAAACCCAGUGUGAUUCGUCACACUAUCAUUAACUGAAUCCAUAGGUUAAUGAGGCGAACCGGGGGAACUGAAACAUCUAAGUACCCCGAGGAAAAGAAAUCAACCGAGAUUCCCCCAGUAGCGGCGAGCGAACGGGGAGGAGCCCAGAGCCUGAAUCAGCAUGUGUGUUAGUGGAAGCGUCUGGAAAGGCGCGCGAUACAGGGUGACAGCCCCGUACACAAAAGCGCAUGUGCUGUGAGCUCGAUGAGUAGGGCGGGACACGUGGUAUCCUGUCUGAAUAUGGGGGGACCAUCCUCCAAGGCUAAAUACUCCUGACUGACCGAUAGUGAACCAGUACCGUGAGGGAAAGGCGAAAAGAACCCCGGCGAGGGGAGUGAAAAAGAACCUGAAACCGUGUACGUACAAGCAGUGGGAGCACAGGUUUACCUGUGUGACUGCGUACCUUUUGUAUAAUGGGUCAGCGACUUAUAUUCUGUAGCAAGGUUAACCGUAUAGGGGAGCCGUAGGGAAACCGAGUCUUAACCGGGCGUUAAGUUGCAGGGUAUAGACCCGAAACCCGGUGAUCUAGCCAUGGGCAGGUUGAAGGUUGGGUAACACUAACUGGAGGACCGAACCGACUAAUGUUGAAAAAUUAGCGGAUGACCUGUGGCUGGGGGUGAAAGGCCAAUCAAACCGGGAGAUAGCUGGUUCUCCCCGAAAGCUAUUUAGGUAGCGCCUCGUGAAUUCAUCUCCGGGGGUAGAGCACUGUUUCGGCUAGGGGGCCAUCCCGGCUUACCAACCCGAUGCAAACUGCGAAUACCGGAGAAUGUUAUCACGGGAGACACACGGCGGGUGCUAACGUCCGUCGUGAAGAGGGAAACAACCCAGACCGCCAGCUAAGGUCCCAAAGUCAUGGUUAAGUGGGAAACGAUGUGGGAAGGCCCAGACAGCCAGGAUGUUGGCUUAGAAGCAGCCAUCAUUUAAAGAAAGCGUAAUAGCUCACUGGUCGAGUCGGCCUGCGCGGAAGAUGUAACGGGGCUAAACCAUGCACCGAAGCUGCGGCAGCGAACGUAUCACCCAAGACAACUUUACGGAGUUGACGAUUGACGGAGCGAAGCGACGUCAAAGCGUUCAUUAAAGUCGAGUUGGCUUAGGGAUACGUUCGUUGGGUAGGGGAGCGUUCUGUAAGCCUGUGAAGGUGUGUCGUGAGGCAUGCUGGAGGUAUCAGAAGUGCGAAUGCUGACAUAAGUAACGAUAAAGCGGGUGAAAAGCCCGCUCGCCGGAAGACCAAGGGUUCCUGUCCAACGUUAAUCGGGGCAGGGUGAGUCGACCCCUAAGGCGAGGCCGAAAGGCGUAGUCGAUGGGAAACGGGUUAAUAUUCCCGUACUUGGUGUUACUGCGAAGGGGGGACGGAGAAGGCUAUGUUGGCCGGGCGACGGUUGUCCCGGUUUAAGCGUGUAGGUGUGUGUUCCAGGUAAAUCCGGUUCACUUUAACACUGAGGCGUGACGACGAGGCACUACGGUGCUGAAGCAACAAAUGCCCUGCUUCCAGGAAAAGCCUCUAAGCAUCAGGUAACACGAAAUCGUACCCCAAACCGACACAGGUGGUCAGGUAGAGAAUACCAAGGCGCUUGAGAGAACUCGGGUGAAGGAACUAGGCAAAAUGGUGCCGUAACUUCGGGAGAAGGCACGCUGACACGUAGGUGAAGUGAUUUACUCAUGGAGCUGAAGUCAGUCGAAGAUACCAGCUGGCUGCAACUGUUUAUUAAAAACACAGCACUGUGCAAACACGAAAGUGGACGUAUACGGUGUGACGCCUGCCCGGUGCCGGAAGGUUAAUUGAUGGGGUCAGCGUAAGCGAAGCUCCUGAUCGAAGCCCCGGUAAACGGCGGCCGUAACUAUAACGGUCCUAAGGUAGCGAAAUUCCUUGUCGGGUAAGUUCCGACCUGCACGAAUGGCGUAAUGAUGGCCAGGCUGUCUCCACCCGAGACUCAGUGAAAUUGAACUCGCUGUGAAGAUGCAGUGUACCCGCGGCAAGACGGAAAGACCCCGUGAACCUUUACUAUAGCUUGACACUGAACAUUGAGCCUUGAUGUGUAGGAUAGGUGGGAGGCUUUGAAGUGUGGACGCCAGUCUGCAUGGAGCCGACCUUGAAAUACCACCCUUUAAUGUUUGAUGUUCUAACGUGGACCCGUAAUCCGGGUUGCGGACAGUGUCUGGUGGGUAGUUUGACUGGGGCGGUCUCCUCCUAAAGAGUAACGGAGGAGCACGAAGGUUGGCUAAUCCUGGUCGGACAUCAGGAGGUUAGUGCAAUGGCAUAAGCCAGCUUGACUGCGAGCGUGACGGCGCGAGCAGGUGCGAAAGCAGGUCAUAGUGAUCCGGUGGUUCUGAAUGGAAGGGCCAUCGCUCAACGGAUAAAAGGUACUCCGGGGAUAACAGGCUGAUACCGCCCAAGAGUUCAUAUCGACGGCGGUGUUUGGCACCUCGAUGUCGGCUCAUCACAUCCUGGGGCUGAAGUAGGUCCCAAGGGUAUGGCUGUUCGCCAUUUAAAGUGGUACGCGAGCUGGGUUUAGAACGUCGUGAGACAGUUCGGUCCCUAUCUGCCGUGGGCGCUGGAGAACUGAGGGGGGCUGCUCCUAGUACGAGAGGACCGGAGUGGACGCAUCACUGGUGUUCGGGUUGUCAUGCCAAUGGCACUGCCCGGUAGCUAAAUGCGGAAGAGAUAAGUGCUGAAAGCAUCUAAGCACGAAACUUGCCCCGAGAUGAGUUCUCCCUGAGACUUAGAGUCUCCUGAAGGAACGUUGAAGACGACGACGUUGAUAGGCCGGGUGUGUAAGCGCAGCGAUGCGUUGAGCUAACCGGUACUAAUGAACCGUGAGGCUUAACCUU
rnacentral:rRNA from 1 species